rnacentral:rRNA from 1 species
UACGUAGGGUGCAAGCGUUAAUCGGAAUUACUGGGCGUAAAGCGUGCGCAGGCGGUGAUGUAAGACAGUUGUGAAAUCCCCGGGCUCAACCUGGGAACUGCAUCUGUGACUGCAUUGCUGGAGUGCGGCAGAGGGGGAUGGAAUUCCGCGUGUAGCAGUGAAAUGCGUAGAUAUCGAGAGGAACACCUGCGGCGAAGGCGGGUUGCUGGGCUGAUACUGACGCUGAGGCGCGAAAGCCAGGGGAGCGAACGGG